GUGGAUUAGAUACCCUGGUAGUCCCAGCCGUAAACUAUGAACACUAGGUGUGGGGGGUAUCGACCCCUUCCGUGCCGCAGCUAACGCAAUAAGUGUUCCGCCUGGGGAGUACGGCCGCAAGGUUGAAACUCAAAGGAAUUGACGGGGGCCCGCACAAGCGGUGGAGUAUGUGGUUUAAUUCGAAGCAACGCGAAGAACCUUACCAGGGUUUGACAUCGAUGGAAUGGCGCUGAAAGGCGUCAGCUCUUCGGAGCCAGAAGACAGGUGGUGCAUGGCUGUCGCCAACU
rnacentral:rRNA from 1 species